rnacentral:pre_miRNA from 14 species
UCCCUAAGAUUUUUGCCAAGGGUUUGGGGGAACAUUCAACCUGUCGGUGAGUUUGGAAGGCUCAGGCAAACCAUCGACCGUUGAGUGGACCCUGAGGCCUGGAACCAGCAUCUUCUGGAAA